CCGGAACCACUUGCCGAUUGCAGAAAAAAAAAAAUUGUAAUAUUGACUGAAUUACGACACCAACUCCGUCCCAAACAUGUUAAGCCUGGAGACCCUCGAGAGUCAGAUAUCUGCUCUGAUGGAGGCCGAGGUGGAGGUGACGGUGACGGAGCUCCGCAGACUUCUGGAGGAGUGCUCGGCCAUGCCGGCCGCCCGGCACCGCGCUGCUCCUCCGGUGUCGAGGGUGAAGAGCGAGGACGAGAGCGAAGUGACUCCGGCGGAGGAGAGGCGCCCGUUUAAUGAAGCCGUAACGGGCCAGUUUGCAUCCCUCAUGGAAACGUGGACCAAAGGUGCGGUACGGAAAAUACUGACGAUGUUGAAAGGGUCCGUGUGUGAGGCCGAGGACGGUCCUGGUGCAGAGCGGAGGUCUGGGCCCGAUGGCGAGACCAAACGGGCGAGCGCCAAGACGAGAAUGGGGCGACUGGCCGGGCCGAAAAGUCAAUCUGCGACAAGAAGCUCUCGACAGAAGAGAAAGAAAAUGGAGGGAGGAUCCAAGCCGGCACCGAAAAAGCCGAAUGACCACAUAUAUUACAGAGAAGAGCAAAAUCCAGAAGAACCAACAACAGCAGCGGAAGACUCUGAAUCA
rnacentral:lncRNA from 1 species